GUAGGUGAACCUGCGGAAGGAUCAUCACCAAAAAAACAAAAACAAACAAUAAAAGCUCCAUAAAAGCAACAAGGAACCAAAGAGAAAGAAAUUGGCCGAAUGUUGGAAGAGGGGGGGGGAGGAGAAGUUUUUUUCCUUCCUUCCUUCCUUUCUUUCCCCCUCUUCCAGGUUUUUUUUCUUUUUCUUUCUUUCUCUUCUUUCUUUUUUUUCUCUUUUUCUCUCUUCUUUCUUUUUUUUUUUUUUUUUUUUU
rnacentral:misc_RNA from 1 species